rnacentral:rRNA from 1 species
UAUCAUUAACUGAAUCCAUAGGUUAAUGAGGCGAACCGGGGGAACUGAAACAUCUAAGUACCCCGAGGAAAAGAAAUCAACCGAGAUUCCCCCAGUAGCGGCGAGCGAACGGGGAGGAGCCCAGAGCCUGAAUCAGCAUGUGUGUUAGUGGAAGCGUCUGGAAAGGCGCGCGAUACAGGGUGACAGCCCCGUACACAAAAGCGCAUGUGCUGUGAGCUCGAUGAGUAGGGCGGGACACGUGGUAUCCUGUCUGAAUAUGGGGGGACCAUCCUCCAAGGCUAAAUACUCCUGACUGACCGAUAGUGAACCAGUACCGUGAGGGAAAGGCGAAAAGAACCCCGGCGAGGGGAGUGAAAAAGAACCUGAAACCGUGUACGUACAAGCAGUGGGAGCACCCUUCGGGGUGUGACUGCGUACCUUUUGUAUAAUGGGUCAGCGACUUAUAUUCUGUAGCAAGGUUAACCGUAUAGGGGAGCCGGAGGGAAACCGAGUCUUAAUUGGGCGUUAAGUUGCAGGGUAUAGACCCGAAACCCGGUGAUCUAGCCAUGGGCAGGUUGAAGGUUGGGUAACACUAACUGGAGGACCGAACCGACUAAUGUUGAAAAAUUAGCGGAUGACCUGUGGCUGGGGGUGAAAGGCCAAUCAAACCGGGAGAUAGCUGGUUCUCCCCGAAAGCUAUUUAGGUAGCGCCUCGUGAAUUCAUCUCCGGGGGUAGAGCACUGUUUCGGCUAGGGGGCCAUCCCGGCUUACCAACCCGAUGCAAACUGCGAAUACCGGAGAAUGUUAUCACGGGAGACACACGGCGGGUGCUAACGUCCGUCGUGAAGAGGGAAACAACCCAGACCGCCAGCUAAGGUCCCAAAGUCAUGGUUAAGUGGGAAACGAUGUGGGAAGGCCCAGACAGCCAGGAUGUUGGCUUAGAAGCAGCCAUCAUUUAAAGAAAGCGUAAUAGCUCACUGGUCGAGUCGGCCUGCGCGGAAGAUGUAACGGGGCUAAACCAUGCACCGAAGCUGCGGCAGCGAACGUAUCACCCAAGACAACUUUACGGAGUUGACGAUUGACGGAGCGAAGCGACGUCAAAGCGUUCAUUAAAGUCGAGUUGGCUUAGGGAUACGUUCGUUGGGUAGGGGAGCGUUCUGUAAGCCUGUGAAGGUGUGUCGUGAGGCAUGCUGGAGGUAUCAGAAGUGCGAAUGCUGACAUAAGUAACGAUAAAGCGGGUGAAAAGCCCGCUCGCCGGAAGACCAAGGGUUCCUGUCCAACGUUAAUCGGGGCAGGGUGAGUCGACCCCUAAGGCGAGGCCGAAAGGCGUAGUCGAUGGGAAACGGGUUAAUAUUCCCGUACUUGGUGUUACUGCGAAGGGGGGACGGAGAAGGCUAUGUUGGCCGGGCGACGGUUGUCCCGGUUUAAGCGUGUAGGUGUGUGUUCCAGGUAAAUCCGGUUCACUUUAACACUGAGGCGUGACGACGAGGCACUACGGUGCUGAAGCAACAAAUGCCCUGCUUCCAGGAAAAGCCUCUAAGCAUCAGGUAACACGAAAUCGUACCCCAAACCGACACAGGUGGUCAGGUAGAGAAUACCAAGGCGCUUGAGAGAACUCGGGUGAAGGAACUAGGCAAAAUGGUGCCGUAACUUCGGGAGAAGGCACGCUGACACGUAGGUGAAGUGAUUUACUCAUGGAGCUGAAGUCAGUCGAAGAUACCAGCUGGCUGCAACUGUUUAUUAAAAACACAGCACUGUGCAAACACGAAAGUGGACGUAUACGGUGUGACGCCUGCCCGGUGCCGGAA